rnacentral:rRNA from 1 species
UGGCGGCACUAGCGCGGUGGUCCCACCUGACCCCAUGCCGAACUCAGAAGUGAAACGCCGUAGUGCCGAUGGUAGUGUGGGGUCUCCCCAUGUGAGAGUAGGGAACUGCCAGGCA